rnacentral:lncRNA from 1 species
CGACGAGUCAUCAUAUUACACAGGGCCUUAUUCUGCACCAACAAAUAUUUGCACACGGCCUGUUUGCACAGAGCUCUUUGCACGGGGCCUUUUGCACAGGGUCGUUAGCAUGGAAUGCUUUGCAAGAGCAGCAUGCACAGGGCCAUUUGCACACGACUCUUUGCACAGUGCUAUUUGCACAGAGCUCUUUGCACGGGGCCUUUUGCACCAAGGGUAUUUGCACAGGGUCAUUAACACAAUGCUUGCAAGGCAGCACACACAGGGCCGU